rnacentral:rRNA from 1 species
CCUACGGGUGGCAGCAGUGGGGAAUAUUGCACAAUGGGGGAAACCCUGAUGCAGCGACGCCGCGUGAGUGAAGACGUAUCUCGGUAUGUUAAGCUCUAUCAGUAGGGAAGUAAAUGAUGGUACCUGAUUAAGAAGCCCCGGCUAACUACGUUCCAGCAGCCGCGGGAAUACGUAGGGGGCCAGCGUUAUCCGGAUUUACUGGGUGUAAAGGGAGCGUAGACGGCAGCACAAGUCUGGAGUGAAAUGCCGGGGCUUAACCCCGGAACUGCUUUGGAAACUGUGCAGCUAGAGUGCAGGAGAGGUAAGUGGAAUGCCUGGUGUAGCGGUGAAAUGCGUAGAGAUUAGGAGGAACACCAGUGGCGAAGGCGGCUUACUGGACUGUAACUGACGUUGAGGCUCGAAAGCGUGGGGAGCAAACAGGAUUAGAUACCCCUGUAGUC